AUUUGAUGUUGAGGACAGCUAAUGCACAACUUCUUGAACCUCUCCCAACAUUCAUAAAGAGAUUCUCCGGAGCUUUGCUUGAUACCACAAAUUUCGUUUCGAAAACU